CCUAGCCUUUUAAUUGGAGGCCUGCAUGAAUGGCUUGACGAGCGCCCUGCUGUCUCUCUUCCCAUGAACUUUUAAAUUAACUUUCGCGUGCAAAGGCGCGAAUGGCUGAGUUAGACGAAAAGACCCUAUGCAUCUUUACUGAGAGAGAAGAAAGUUCUUUAGCUUGGUUUAGCUGGGGCAGCUGAGGAAAAGGCAAAAUUUCCUUAAUAUAAAUCAUACUGGUGGGUUUAGAUCCAGGCUCUUUAGCGGGCUUGACAAGUAGAAAAGUUACGCUAGGGAUAACAGCGUUAUCCUUCUGUGGAGGUCUUAUCUGCAGGAGGGAUUGCGACCUCGAUGUUGAAUUAGGGAUAUACCAGAAAGGCGCAGAAGCUUUUAUUGUGG
rnacentral:rRNA from 1 species